AGCGUGGAGCCACACAGUUUUUUGACCUCUCGCUCUUCUUUUAUUUUUUCCACGUCAUUCUGUUUUAGAUGAAGAGCCCCACUACAUCGCGCUCCCAAAACCUAUGACUUGGUAUGAUGCAAUGCAAUCCUGCCGGUCUAACUACACGGACCUGGCCAGUGUGCGCAAUAUUUCUGAGAGCUACAAUGUAUCGGCACUCAUUCCAGAACAAGCAUGGAUUGGUCUCCACAGAUACCCGUGGUCCCUCUGGUCUGACGGAAGUAGUGCCACUUUCUUGAAUUGGGGACCCGGUGAACCAAACAGCUCUCGAGGCCCCAUUGCUCCACGUUGUGUCAAAAUGUCCGUCAACUCAGGGCACUUUUUUGAUGAGGAAUGUGGCCUUUUGUACAACUUUGCCUGCCAGCGAAAUCUGAAGCAACGGUCAACCUUCAAGAUCAAGAUCAGCUCUGAAGCAGACAUGACGGAUCCUGAGGUGGGACGCCAGAUUUUGGAACAGCUCCAUGCCAAUCUGGUUGAGCUGGGUGUGACUGGUACAAAUAUCAGCUGGGUUCUCGAGGACGGACAGGUGUUUCACAAGGACCAGCCCAGCAAGACAUGAGAGGAGGUCAUCGCUGUGUUCUGCUCUUUGUGUAUUGAAAUAUACCUUUAGUCAUCUAGCAACAGGGCUCCAAGGAGAUCCACCUUUAGGCUGAGAACAUUUAGAUAAUAAAAUGCUGUCAUUUAUCACAUGCUAGAAUUUUGCAAGUAGUAGUAGUAGUAGUAGUAGUAGUAGUAGUAGUAGUAUUGGUAUUAGUUGUACUAGUCGUAGUACCAGUACCACCACCCCCACCUGCGAGAGCUCCGGUUUCCUCCAGCACCUCAAAUUGUUUCUGGUAACACUCCUUUCCUGUCCAUGACCCAGAGACGGGCUGGCUCCUCCCUGGAGGUCGUGCCCAGGCCCCGCCCUGUGAGGCAGGCAGCCCACUGCCCGCUCCUAGGUACCAGCUCUCAGCUCCUACCUCCUAGGUACCAGCUCUCAGCUCCUACCUCCUAGGUACCAGCUCUCAGCUCCUACCUCCUAGGUACCAGCUCUCAGCUCCUACCUCCUAGGUACCAGCUCUCAGCUCCUACCUAGGUACCAGCUCUCAGCGCCUACCUCCUAGGUACCAGCUCUCAGCUCCUACCUCCUAGGUACCAGCUCUCAGCUCCUACCUCCUAGCAGCUGAUGGGUUCAAUGCAGAGAAGGAAUUACCCCAUGGGGAUUAAUUAAAGUAAAAACAAUGCAAAAAAUAUUUAUAUCUGAUAUAUCAUAUGAAUUGUUUAUUGCUAAUAUAAGUGGUAUCCCCAAAUUAAUUUCAAUGAUAUUUCAUUGAUUCUACUUUACUGUCUUAUCAGCGGAGUGUCUUGUUGACAAAGAAUGUUUGUGGCCGGUCCUUAUUUCAGUACGUUGUUCGAGAUCAACAUGGAAAGAAAACUGUUGUUUUGGCCAUUAUGUACUCCUGUGUUUAUUAGAAAUUUGAUGCAAUGUACAAGUAUCAAUCUUAAGAAUGAAUAAAGUAAUGUAUCAAAACCCAUCAAUGAGUUGUUUUUCCUAUAAGCGCAUGAGGACACACCAGCAACAAGGCGUCACUCGUCCAAAGGGUCCUGUGUGUAAUGUACUGAAUCAUUUAUGUGCUUCUACACCAGGAAUGACAGAAAUGAUCUUACUACCCAAUAUCGAUCUCUGAUGCAAUGUAUUUAUAUCUGACAAUUAAUAUAAAUGAAAAACAUAAAUUUCAAGGAGG
rnacentral:lncRNA from 1 species